rnacentral:rRNA from 1 species
GAUGAACGCUGGCGGCGUGCCUAAUACAUGCAAGUCGAGCGAACAGACGAGAGUGCUUGCCCUCUCUGACGUUAGCGGCGGACGGGUGAGUAACACGUGGGUAACCUACCUAUAAGACUGGGAUAACUUCGGGAAACCGGAGCUAAUACCGGAUAAUAUUUAGCUUCGCAUGAAGCAAUAGUGAAAGACGGUUCUGCUGUCACUUAUAGAUGGACCCGCGGUGUAUUAGCUAGUUGGUGAGGUAACGGCUCACCAAGGCAACGAUACAUAGCCGACCUGAGAGGGUGAUCGGCCACACUGGGACUGAGACACGGCCCAGACUCCUACGGGAGGCAGCAGUAGGGAAUCUUCCGCAAUGGACGGAAGUCUGACGGAGCAAUGCCGCGUGAGUGAAGAAGGUUUUCGGAUCGUAAAACUCUGUUGUAAGGGAAGAACAAGUACGUUAGUAACUGAACGUACCUUGACGGUACCUUACCAGAAAGCCACGGCUAACUACGUG